ncrna:Rattus norvegicus (Norway rat) microRNA rno-mir-412 precursor
GGGACGGAUGGUCGACCAGCUGGAAAGUAAUUGUUUCUAAUGUACUUCACCUGGUCCACUAGCCGUCGGU